UUCAGUGCUCUCCCUCUAUAGGAUCCACAUCUGCCACUGUUGGAAAUAGGAUACUGGGCUUGAUGGACCAUUGGUCUGACCCAGUAUGGCACUCUUUAUGUCU